AUAUUUUCUCGACCUUUUGGCUAAGAUUAAGUAUAGUAUCAGUUUAAUAUUGGAUAUAUCCUCUAUCCAAGGACAUUACAUUAAAUGGAUUUUUUGGAGCGGGGAGUUGGAAUAGGCACUUGUUCGGUCCACUCCGCACAUUGGCCUGGUAUUGCAGUAAUUCUGGGAAUGAUGUGCGCACG